rnacentral:SRP_RNA from 1 species
GCCAGGUGUGGUGGCGGGCACCUGUAAUCCCAGCUACUUGGGAGGCUGAGGCAGGAGAAUCACUUGAACCCAGGAGGCAGAGGUUGCAGUGAGCCGAGAUUGCACUAUUGCACUCCAGCCUGGGUGACAGAGUGAGAUUCUGUCUCAA